AAGGAAUUAGUUUAUUUUAAAAUACUAAUUUGUCAAAUUGGAGAAUUUAGUUAUUAAGAUUUCUUU
rnacentral:tRNA from 1 species